AGAUUUAAUUUUGACUCGAUAAAAGAAAAAACAAUGGUUCCACUUCAACUUUAUGUUGCUGUCAUAGUUGCGACGCUUGCAACUGCUAUCCCUAAUCCGAAUAAUAAGAAAUUGCAGCUCUGCAAGAAAUACGACUUGUUGUAUAAACAAUGUCUACCACCACAGGACUGGAUAUGUGAUAAGCUACCAACAACCUACGUUGAGCAAGACGUUCGUACAGCAAUGGUAAAUACCGAAGGAAAUUUCAUGAGAUACUUAAAUAACAGCAAAGAAUGCAAUGGUGUCACAAAUCACGUAUUCUCAAAAAAAAUUGCAGUAGAGGAAAUCAGAGGAAAUGGAGCGAUAAAAAUGGCAAGGAUUCAUAAGUUUCCUAUGUGUAGAGAGGUUCGCAAGCUUGUGAGCUACAUUUAUAGACCCGUCCACCAUGUAGUGACUGAUAUCAGACUAGGCACUGAAAUUUGUGAAGUUAUUUUCAGUAACCGAUACCAAACUAUUUAUAAAGUGGAGUGUAUAGGCCAUAAGAAAACAACAAAAUGCAAAUUCCAUUAUGCACCACAAGAUAAUUAUUUCUGCCGACCAACCAAUUACGUCACCAGAACCAUGGUAGUGUUAUGCCCCAGCGACCAUGGACAAUUAAGUUACCAUGUCGAGAAGAUCCCAACAGCCUGUAGCUGUGUAAAGGUUGGAUGUGACCAUACAUUCCCCACAAAAAGAAUUUUCUAAAGAGAUAGAACAGUAUUAAGUCACUUACAAGGGCAUGUGCAAUAUAUUUCAUCCUCAUCAUUUAUAUGUUUGUCUUAAAUGUUUAUGUCUAAUUACAAACAACAACAGAAAUAUUGAAUAAAAAAUAUAUUUAAAAUGUG